rnacentral:lncRNA from 1 species
AGACAAAUCCUAAACAAAUUCUAAUAAAAUUUUAGACAAAUCUUAAUUAAAUCCUAGAAAAAUCCUAAACAAAACUUAAUAAAAUUCUAAACAAAUUCUAAUCAAAUUUUAGACAAAUCUUAAUUAAAUCCUAGACAAAUCCUAAACAAAUCUUAAUCAAAUCCUAAAUAAAUUCUAAUCAAAUUUUAGACAAAUAUUAAUUAAAUCCU